rnacentral:lncRNA from 1 species
AUGCCACCAAAACAGCCUCUGGCCUCUCCAUCCGCAGGUUGGAGUGGUUCUGCAGACCCCAGCAGAGGAGCGCGAAAGUCAACGGGAAGAAGACACAGCCCAGUACAAAAAGCAGGGUCAUGCCUGUCUGGGGGACAAAAGGACGUGUCUGAACACCCCGCGGAGGAAGAAGACAGCACCAGCCACUGCUGGCACGGGGCUGCAGCCCCUGGCUACACACACCUCCGAAAGACAGCGGCGACUUCGGACACCUCUCUCCCGCCCCAGCCUGACUCCCCAGGUGAGUCCCUCUCUCACCCCCGACGGACUUCACAAGCCUGUCUCACAGUUCAUCCCGGGCCUGCAGUUGGCCGUUUCCCGCUCUUUCAGCCUCUUUGAAGGCCAGAUGCGGUCCUGCGCAUCCUCCUCCCCUGAGCGCCGCCGCCGCCGCCUCGGCCCUGCGGAGGUGUACAGGUGCGAUAGCAUCGAAGGCUGUGAAUAAGUAAAUAAGCAGCCAGAAGUGGCCCGUUUCCCCACAUGAUACCCAGGGAAGGGUCCAGUUCCCCCUCCCCAUGCUCUGGGGAGUGUCCUGGCGGUGCACCAGAUCAUUUAUUAUUCAGUGCUUUUAUUGUCCCUGUCCCAAGGUAGGUACUAUUCCAAGCAAGUUCAGCCCCACCCUUCAUCUGUGCCGUAGAAAAGGCCGAGGCGGCACAUUAGGGGAGUCGGAGGGAGACAACUAAGCGUUCAGACCAUUUUCCCUCCUUAGGUUGGCUGUGUGACCUUGGGCAAGUGUCAGAACCUCUCUGAGCUCCAGUUGUGUACAAAGUCCCAUUGCCUGGGCUCCAAUCUUAGUUCCAUCACUCACUAGCCAGGAGAACUUGUGCAAGCGAUUUGGCUCCUCUGAGCCUCAAGCUUUUCAUCUAUAAAAUGGGGACAGGAGCAGAAGGGCUGCGGGAUGACUGAAUGAGAUGAGAUGUGUGUAAACACAGUUACUAUGUGGCACAUUGUAAAUAGUCGUUGUGAUCGUCAUUCAAGGUUCUUGUUCUCUUUUUUUAAUGACUCAUGUUCUGUGCCAGGUGCUCUACCUAUAUUUUCUCUGAGCAUCACAAUAAGCCUUGGCAGUUUCUUAGCCCCACUUUCCAGAUAAAGAAGACUGAGUCCCAGGGAGGUCAACUGACUUGCUCAAGGUCACACUGACACAUGGUGGCAGAACUAGAAUUCAAGCCUAGAUCAUAAUUCUUUUUUCUUUCUUUCUUUUUCUUUUUGACUAUGCCUGCAGCAUGUGGAAGUUCCCAGGCCAGGGAUCAAACCCCACGCCACAGUUGCAACCCGCACCACACCUGUGGCACCACUGGAUCCUUAACCUUCUGUGCCACACAGGAACUUCCCAUAGUUCUCUUCUUUUUUUUUUUUUUUUUCUUUUUUUCUUUUUUUGGCCACAGCGUGCAGCAGCUUCACAUUUGAGCCCAGUUCCCAGAUCAGGGAUUGAACUGGGGCUGCAGUGAUGAAAGCCCUGAAUCCUAACCCCUGGACCACCAGGGAACUCUCCAUAAUUCGUUUCUCUCUGUAAAGUGGAAGUGAUGGUUUCUGCCUACUGUUAGGAGAAAAUAAGGGAAAGUCUGUGACGAGGGCGCCACUGACCCUCUAGUUCAGCAGAGUUCAGCUUCUUAUUCCCCCAGAGAGUAACUACCUAAGCAUCAGCCUUUCAUUUUCAUAAUAAGGAGGCUAGUGAACCCCAUCUUGGUCUCUGGGAGGCCAUAUUACCUGGAAGCAUUAGAUCAAAAUCAAAACUGCCAGAUUCCUUUCCCACGUCCAAGCCCAGGUCCUCAGAGGCUCCUUUCAUCUUCUGGGCUUUCUCUGCAUCUCAGGUCUCCCACUUACCCCAUGAUUUUUGGAAAGCCAUAGUCUUUUACUCUCUCUCCCAGGGGCGGUGUGAAACCACAAGUGAUAAUAUCUCCCAUCGCCAGCUUUGAACUUCAGAUAGAAGGAGACCUUAUGGCAGUUGGACUAUCUGAGAGGUCAGUUUCUCCCUGCUUCCAACAGGGGGUGUGAUGUGGGUGGAAGCGGGGCCCUGGCCAAGUGGGGUGCGUUCAUCACCUCCUUUCUUGCCUUGCAACAAACAGACCUGGUGCCCUGUGCCGCCUCCUGCAUAAUGCAUGCGCGCGUGGUAGGAACAGAACCCCGUCCGUGGUGAGUCUGGCCGCUGUGGGCCAUGGACGUGUCCAGAGGCCUUGCCAAGGCUGGUGUCUCUAGGAUGUUGGCAGGAGUUGAGGAGACAGAGGGAGUAUGUGUCACCUGAAAAUUUUCCUGGGGCUGAGGUGGGAACAGGUUGCAUCUUGAGCCUCAGGAUUCUGCAAAGAAAAUAGGGGAAGACAUGAGUUCCCAUGGCUCAGCGGUAAGGAACCAAAAUAAUACCCACGAGGACGUGGGUUUGAUCCUUGGCCCUGAUCAGUGGGUUAAGGAUCCGGCAUUGCUGUGAGAUGUGGUGUAGGCUGCAGACUUAGCUUGAAUCCUGCAUUGCUGGCUGUGGGGUAGGUCAGCAGCUGCAGCUCUGAUCUGCAGACCCUAAAAAAGAAAAAAAGAAAAAAAAAAGUGGGCAGUCAGAGUGCCUCACAAGCCCAGGGAAGGCAUCACCUCAUUGGUUGGAUUCCACUCAUUCAUAGAAUCAGUAAGUACUCAAGGCCAAGCUAACUGCUAGGGCUUAAGAUAUGAAGAUGAGGAGUUCCCAUUGUGGCUCAGUGGUUAACGAAGCCAACUAGGAACCAUGAGGUUGUGGGUUCGAUCCCUGGCCUCACUCAGUGGGUUAAGGAUCUGGCGUUGCCUCGAGCUGUGGUGUAGGUUGCAGACUCAGCUCAGAUCCCACAUUGCUGUGGCUCUGGCGUAGGCCAGCGGCUACAGCUCCAAUUGGACCCCUAGCCUGGGAACCUCCAUAUGCCCCGGGUGCAGCCCUAGAAAAAAAAGACAUGAAGAUGAAUCAGGGGAGUUCCUGUUGUGGCUCAGUAGGUUAAGGACCCAAUGUUGUCUCUGUGAGGAUGUGUGUGCAUUUGAUCUCCGGCCUUGCUCAUUGGGUUAAGGAUCCAGUGUUGCUGUGGCUGUGUUGUAGGCUGGCAGCUGCAGCUCUGAUUCAACCUGUGGCCUGUGAACUUCCAUAUGCCACAGGUGCAACCAUAAAAAGAAAAGAAAAAAAAAAAAGGUGAAUCAGGGAGUUCCCGUCGUAGAUUAGUGGGUUAAGAAUCUGGGAGUUCCCGUCGUGGCGCAGUGGUUAAUGAAUCUCACUAGGAACCAUGAGGUUGUGGGUUCGAUCCCUGGUCUCGCUCAGUGGGUUACGGAUCCGGCAUUGCCGUGAGCUGUGGUGUAGGUCGCAGACGUGGCUCAGAUCCUGCGUUGCUGUGGCUGUGGUUGUGGCUGGCAGCUGCAGCUCUGAUUCGACCCCUAGGCUGGGAACCUCCAUAUGCCGCGGGUGCGGCCCUAGAAGACAAAAAGACAAAAAGAAAAAGCACAAAAUCCGAUGUGGGUGGAGCAAACCACUUUGAUGGUGAUGUGAGGGUUGAAGAGACCAGAUGAUGAAUCUUAAGUUUGGGCACUGGACUUCACGCUUUGGCUCAGUGGGUUAAAAAUCCCACUGCAGCAGCUCGUGUAGCUUCGGAGGUGCAGUUUCGAUCCUCUGUGGUAGGUCGCAGCUAUAGCUGGGAUUCAAUCCCUGGCCUGGGGAACUUACAUAUUCCCCCGAGUGCUGCCAUAAAAUAAAAAAUAAAAAAACGCUGUUAAUAAAAGUGAGUGCGAUGAGGUUGAAACAAUAUUGAGGAUAGUUCUAUACAAUUAAGAAGUAGCUUUGACUUUUACAGUAUCCGUGGGAGGAUACUGUUUCUCCUCGGUUUACACUGGAAUAACACGGAUUCUUCGAGGCAUAGUGACUUAGCCGAAGUCACAUAGCCAGUUGAUGGUAUAGCCCGGGGGUUCAAUCUUCCCUUUGUAGCACACAGCGCACAAUGAGGAUCCGACUUAGGCGGGUAUCUGCGGGAACUCCCCAUUUCUAUUCUGUAACUGCGGGAAAGCUCAGGGGACCCCAACUAAAAAGAAGAGCUGGUGACCAAAGAAGAUCGCGAAGGGGAAGCGCGGGGUGGAGAAGGAGUUUUGGGUCUGAGCGGCCGCCGUAGGAGCGGCGCUCUGAUCUCCAUAGCAACCGCGAGAAGCAGCGGGAGGCUUCUGGGCGGUGCAGCGGCCGCGGCGGAUUGGAUCAAGCAAAGCGCGGAAUCCGUGAACUGGCCGCGGCCCCGAGGGCGCAGGUAAAGCCGUUAGGUCAAUGGAGGGAGCCCGGGGUUGGGGGAAAACAGGGGUGUGGUCUGGGUCGGGCAGGGCCUUCGAAGGUGGUGCCGCUCCGAAUC